rnacentral:rRNA from 1 species
UACGGGGGGAGCAAGCGUUGUUCGGAUUUACUGGGCGUAAAGGGCGCGUAGGCGGCCACCGCAAGUCGGUUGUGAAAUCUCUGGGCUUAACCCAGAAAGGUCAACCGAUACUGCGGGGCUAGAGUGCAGAAGGGGCAACUGGAAUUCUCGGUGGUAGCGGUGAAAUGCGUAGAUAUCGAGAGGAACACCUGCGGCGAAGGCGGGUUGCUGGGCUGACACUGACGCUGAAGCGCGAAAGCUAGGGGAGCGAACGGG